CGCCGCCCUCUGCCCACGGCAGGCGGGGAGCGGAGCCGGCACGGGGCCGGGGAGGGAGGGGUGCGGGGUUCCGAGCAUCCUCAGAGCUCGCCCUGCGGGGAGAAGGAGCAGUACUGGAUUCUCCGAUGCUGCCGGAAGAAGAGGGGUGGCCGGUGUCGCCCCGCUGUCCGUCUCUCACCGGGCAUUUGGGACGAUCUUGCUCCCCUCCACCCGUAGCACACGAGCCGGAUCAGCCCCCUGCCCAGUGCUCCAGAGCCCCCGUCGGUGGCAGCAGCCCCGGUCUCCUUUCUUGCGGUGCCGCGAGUUGUGUUAUCGGGCACACGGGAGUGCGUUCGAGAGUUGUGUGA
rnacentral:lncRNA from 1 species